rnacentral:rRNA from 1 species
CACAUAGGGUGCGAGCGUUGUCCGGAAUUAUUGGGCGUAAAGAGCUCGUAGGCGGUGUGUCGCGUCGGCCGUGAAAACCUGCAGCUUAACUGUGGGCUUGCGGUCGAUACGGGCAUCACUGGAGUUCGGCAGGGGAGACUGGAAUUCCUGGUGUAGCGGUGGAAUGCGCAGAUAUCAGGAGGAACACCGGUGGCGAAGGCGGGUCUCUGGGCAGUAACUGACGCUGAGGAGCGAAAGCGUGGGGAGCGAACAGG